AUGGGCUCCAGUAGAGUUGGUAGAGCUUCCCUUGUUCUUCUACUGCUCAUCGUCGUUUCGGAUUGCGCCGCAGGAGGCAGGGGUCUGGCCGAAGAAAAGAUUCAGAAGGAACAUCACAACGCUGUGCACAAGGAGGGAACGACAGCUCCAGGCAGCCAUCCAAGGAACCUCAUGGUGAAGACAAACGACUACGGCCGCUAUGACCCGACUCCAGCGUUCUCCAGGCCUCGCUUCAAGCCUAUACCUCACUGA
rnacentral:rRNA from 1 species